CCUACGGGCGGCAGCAGUGAGGAAUAUUGGUCAAUGGGCGCGAGCCUGAACCAGCCAAGUAGCGUGAAGGAUGACUGCCCUACGGGUUGUAAACUUCUUUUAUAAAGGAAUAAAGUGAGGCACGUGUGCCUUUUUGUGUGUACUUUAUGAAUAAGGAUCGGCUAACUCCGUGCCAGCAGCCGCGGUAAUACGGAGGAUCCGAGCGUUAUCCGGAUUUAUUGGGUUUAAAGGGUGCGUAGAUGGGUUGUUAAGUCAGGUGUGAAAGUUUGCGGCUCAACCGUAAAAUUGCAAUUGAUACUGGCAGCCUUGAGUACAGUUGAGGUAGGCGGAAUUCGUGGUGUAGCGGUGAAAUGCUUAGAUAUCACGAAGAACUCCGAUUGCGAAGGCAGCUUACUAAACGGCAACUGACAUUGAUGCUCGAAAGUGUGGGUAUCGAACAGGAUUAGAUACCCGAGUAGUC
rnacentral:rRNA from 1 species